UGCCUGAGUGAGUGUGAGUGUGAGAGCGAGAACAGCCCGCAGGUCCCGAGGCGCUUGCAAGGGGACUCUGCCGCGGAAAGUUCCCAGUCCCCAGCCGCAGCUACUCUGGAAAACAAGAAGAGAAACCAACCCACACCCAACCGAAACCACAAAAAUACGUGAAAUCCUUACAGUAGAAAUGAUGUGCGUUUCUGAUUAGAGAUACUGAAUGAAGAGUAGUGCUGUCCCUGAAAUCACGUCUGGAUCAUCCCUCUCACCUGAUGCUGCCGAUCUUGGAGACUGAAGGAGGUUCGGAAAAGGGAACUGAAGUCUCACAAUUUGGAAGUCUCCCUUGAAAGAAGUGUUGAAGACAGGUUUACCUUAUGCUCACAUAGAGAAUCUCAUCUAGAGUAAGGAGUCUCUCAUCUCCAGGAUAAGAUCCAGGGUGAUGUCCAUCGCACUUUAUGUACACAUUGGAGUUUCCAUUAAGGGCUUGGUGAACCAGCUAUACAUUCAACCUUGUGGAUGUACUUCUAUAGCUACUUGAACCACAGGAUUACAGAGCCGACACAGGGAGUGUCAGCCUGAGCUCUCAAGACUGAAAUGACUUCUUUGUCAGAACCUACAGGAAGAAUUUCGAUGUACUCAGUUUCACCUUGAUCAAAAUACUUUCUUUUUGAAAAUUACAAGAAGAUGUGAGACAUCUGCCUUUACCUCAGGACUUGAUUCAGAAGUAGUCAUCGCUUUCUUUCCCCUCCCCCAUCUCUAUCUCUAUUUAUCUCUCCUCACUCUCUUACUCUAUGACUCCUACUCUCUGGAAAGACCUGGAGCUAAAAGAAAGAUAUGGAAAGUUGGUUUUUUGAAAAGAAAAGAGUUGUGCUAGGAACAGUAUCUGCUGAAGGCACCAAAAUUGUAAAGUAAAAGGCUCUCUUGAAUCCUUAUCUAAAUGACAGUAAAAUAAUACACAUUCCAUAUAUACUGGCUAUAUGGUGCCGAUCCUGAAAACCAGCCCAUGGGAACAAUAACUUUCCAAAUUCUAUGGUCUGGGAACAACUAAAAGUCACAGAAGAGGCUCAUAGAUGUGUUAUUGGUGCUGGUCACCCUAGUGAAGUGCUACCAGUUCAAUGUCUUUUACAAAAUGUAUGCUGUACUUUGAGUAAUUGAUGUUUUACAUAAAAAAAAAUAAAGUUCUUAAUAAUAAGCAGUUUACAUAUUCUGGACUUCAUUUUCAGUGAUUUUUUUUUUAAUCAACCUAUAAAAUCUGAGUAAUGAUGGAUUGUGGGUAAGGAAAUUGCUGGCACACCUUAAAGAGGUUUAGUUAAACCUGACAUUGGUUUAUGCAUAUCUGGCCAAGAACAUUGGACCUUCAGAAUGGGCAUGUGCAGUCAGCCACUGUUUGUUCUCAUUAAGAGGAGGAAAAAGAAAGAGGUUUGUAUUCAGUGCCUGGAGGAAGCCAUUCUGUUUCCUUUCCUAUUCUGAGUUUUACAAGUUAACAUGCUGAAGAAGAAAACUGAGAGGAAAAUGGAUCUUGCUGUGGUAAAGUUGAAAUAAGCUUAGAGCUCCGAAAAGGGACAUGCAAACUACCUUCUAAAUAUCUAUUCUUACACUAACAAACAGAAGCUGCUCCCAGACUUACUCAUAAAAGCUAUUGUUACAACGAAUGGCUUAAAUAAAAGAGCCUCAAAGGUGCUCAAGAUCCAAGGAAUAAUAGAUGAUUGGAGGCUCAGCUCUAAACAAAACAUUUUUACCCUCCCCACUGAGGCUUGAGGUUAUUGUUGAAGAGGAGAUGGGAAAUAUGUCUGAGCCAUGGCCUGUGAAAUGUCAUUGUCCAAACCCAAUGUAUCCAUUAACAACUUUAGUUACUUAAACUGGGUCUACACAACACCCGCCCCAUCAAAGAUUAGUCAAGGAAAGCAGAGAGGCUCAUGAGGUCCUACAUGUGCUUUACCUCUGAACUAUGGACUAAUGAUAGAGAAUAGGAAUCCUUGUCUUUAGUUCUAUAUACCCUGCUGAACCUCCCAGGUUCCAAUAAAUAGAUCAAAAUCAUGGGCACACAGAGAGCCCUGGUUAACCUCAAUGGGUCAAAAAACAAAAUGGCUGUACAUGAAGAGAGAGAAAGUUGUGUUGGACCGGGGCUGAGGGUAGGAUGAGACUGAUCAGUGUUCAUGAUAAAUAUCUGUGAAAUUAUCAUAGAAAUUAAUUAGUUUUUAAAAGAGACAUACUCCUAUAAAGAUAGGCAUGAGAUUUAACUACCAAAUUUAAGGCUCCAUGAAGUAGAGUUCAAAAAGGGAAAUAUCUUGGAAAAAAUCAAAAUAAAACAGUAACACAAAACACAGCAACCACAAACCUACAACUUUCUGCUCUGACUAGGUUCUGGUUAAUGCAAAAGCAUUUUAGAAGAGUUAGCACUCUGUUAAUAUGGCUUUUGUUGCUUUUAAAUUUAGUCUUGAAUAGCCAUACUGACUUUUCACAGUAUCUUUAUCUUUAAGGAAAACAUUUCUUAUAUUUGCCUUCUAUUCUACUUAUCAAUGUGAGUUACAUGUAUACACUGGGGAAAAUUCCCUCUUAAAAUUUAGUUUUAUGACUUGAGGAUUACCUACCUUAUAU